AGCACAAUUGCUGGAUCAUAUGGUAAGAACGUUUAGUUUUGUAAGAAACUGCCAAACUGCCUUCCAAAGUGGCUUUACCAUUUUGCAUUCUCACCAGCGAU
rnacentral:pre_miRNA from 1 species